CGGCAAGAGCUCAAAUUUGAAAUCUGGCCCUCUCAGGGUCCGAGUUGUAAUUUGUAGAGGGUGCUUUGGCGUCGGCCCCGGCCUAAGUUCCUUGGAACAGGACGUCACAGAGGGUGAGAACCCCGUACGUGGCCGCCGGCCUUCGCCGUGUAAAGCCCCUUCGAC
rnacentral:rRNA from 1 species